GAAGUUUUCACAAGCAUACCGGAUAAUAUUGUAAGGCUUUAUUUAGCUCUAGGAAUGAAGUACCGGUAUUAAGGAGACGUAUGCCCAACUGUGGUUCAGCAACAUCCAGUUUCAAGGCAGGGUGCCCCCUCCCUCCUCCUCAGCCGCCAAGGCCACAUCCCAGCCAGCCAUGUGCUGCUCAUGUCGCCAGACUGAGGCCAGGGCAUCAGCGCAUCACCAAGGCAGCUCUCAUUGGACACAAUACCUGCAGAUGGGGCCAGAAUUUACUGCCAAACCUUGAGUGCUGCUCUGAUGGUUAUUGCAAAAGUGAGAACUCCUGAGCAAAUAAAGUGUGUGGGCAUUAUUUCCAUCCUCCAUCCUCAUGUCCGUGAAUUUUAUCUGCAACACUUUGGACUAGGGGUGUGGAUAAAACCAGCUG